GAUGAACGCUGGCGGCGUGCCUAAUACAUGCAAGUCGAGCGAACAGAUGAGGAGCUUGCUCCUCUGACGUUAGCGGCGGACGGGUGAGUAACACGUGGAUAACCUACCUAUAAGACUGGGAUAACUUCGGGAAACCGGAGCUAAUACCGGAUAAUAUAUUGAACCGCAUGGUUCAAUAGUGAAAGACGGUUUUGCUGUCACUUAUAGAUGGAUCCGCGCCGCAUUAGCUAGUUGGUAAGGUAACGGCUUACCAAGGCGACGAUGCGUAGCCGACCUGAGAGGGUGAUCGGCCACACUGGAACUGAGACACGGUCCAAACUCCUACGGGAGGCAGCAGUAGGGAAUCUUCCGCAAUGGGCGAAAGCUUGACGGAGCAACGCCGCGUGAGUGAUGAAGGUCUUCGGAUCGUAAAACUCUGUUAUUAGGGAAGAACAAAUGUGUAAGUAACUAUGCACGUCUUGACGGUACCUAAUCAGAAAGCCACGGCUAACUACGUG
rnacentral:rRNA from 1 species